ACAAAAAUUCUAUAAAAUAUAUAUAUAUAAAUUAAAUCAAAAUAUUAUUUGGCUUUGUGCAGGCGUAAAUUUUCGUCAAAUAAAAGAUAUGCUAUUUGAUGCUGAUGUGACUCCCACUUUACCAAUUUCUAAGGAGGGAUUAUUUGGUCAGUGUAAAACAUAUAGAUAGUAUUAAAUAUCUUCGACAAUA